rnacentral:rRNA from 1 species
GACGAACCGUGCGAACGUUGUUCGGAUUCACUGGGCUUAAAGGGCGCGUAGGCGGGCUUUCAAGUCGGGGGUGGAAUCCCACAGCUUAACUGUGGAAGUGCCUCCGAUACUGGGAGCCUUGAGGGAGGUAGGGGUGUGUGGAACUUCCGGUGGAGCGGUGAAAUGCGUAGAUAUCGGGAGGAACACCAGUGGCGAAGGCGACUACCUGGCCCAUUCUUGACGCUGAGGCGCGAAAGCUAGGGGAGCGAACGGG